rnacentral:rRNA from 1 species
CACGUAGGGGGCAAGCGUUGUCCGGAUUUAUUGGGCGUAAAGGAGCUCGUAGGCGGUUCGGUAAGUCGGGUGUGAAACCUCCAGGCUCAACCUGGAGACGCCACCCGAUACUGCUGUGACUAGAGUCCGGUAGGGGAGCGUGGAAUUCCUGGUGUAGCGGUGAAAUGCGCAGAUAUCAGGAGGAACACCAGCGGCGAAGGCGGCGCUCUGGGCCGGAACUGACGCUGAGUGCGCGAAAGCCAGGGGAGCAAACGGG